UAAAAGAAUUUAAUUUUUAGUAACCCCUGCUCAAUGAUUUUAAAUAGCCGCAGACUCCUGUGCUAAGGUAGCAUAAUCAUUUGCCUAAUAAUUAUAGGAUAGAAUGAAAGGCGAUACAUGUUAUCUCCUUUAUUGGGUAGGAUUCUUAAAAUUACCUUUUAAGUAAAAAUCCUUAAAUUAUCAGGGGGACGACAAGACCCUGACGAACUUUACACUAUGUUUAGCUGGGGCGGCAGACAAAUCAAACCUUUCCUUUCUUUUUCUAUAUCCAGCCUACAAAUGAUUACCAAGUUACCGCAGGGAUAACAGCAUAAUAAUUUCCUGAAGGCCUUAUACAAGAGAUUAUUUGUGACCUCGAUGUUGAAUUAAAAAUCUAUUAGAGGCAGCCCUCUAAUAAGAAAGUCUGUUCGACUUUUAAAAACUU
rnacentral:rRNA from 1 species